ACGACUCUCGGCAACGGAUAUCUCGGCUCUCGCAUCGAUGAAGAAUGUAGCGAAAUGCGAUACCUGGUGUGAAUUGCAGAAUCCCGCGAACCAUCGAGUCUUUGAAUGCAAGUUGCGCCCGAGGCCACCCGGUCGAGGGCACGCCUGCCUAGGCAUCACGC
rnacentral:rRNA from 1 species